CCUUCUGGGCCUGCUCAAAUAAAUAUGUAGAAAUUAUUUAUUAUGCUAAAAGUAUAAUAGAUAAUUUAAGCCC
rnacentral:tRNA from 1 species